rnacentral:rRNA from 1 species
AGAGCGCAGGGUGGAUGCCUUGGCACUAAGAGCCGAAGAAAGACGUGAUAAGCUGCGAAAAGCUGCGGGGAGAUGCAAAUAAUCUUUGAUCCGCAGAUGUCUGAAUGGGGAAACCCGGCUGGAAGGACUCCAGUCAUCCAUACGCCAAUCCAUAACGUAUGGAAGGGAACCCGGUGAACUGAAACAUCUAAGUAGCCGGAGGAAGAGAAAGAAACAUCGAUUUCCAGAGUAGCGGCGAGCGAAAUGGAAAGAGGCCAAACCGUUGUGCGUGCACAGCGGGGUUCGGACCGCAUAAUUGAUUCAGUGAUUCUAGCAGAAAGGUUUUGGGAAAGCCUGCCGGAGAGGGUGAAAGCCCCGUAAGCGAAAGGAAAACUGACAAGGCGGUAUCCAGAGUACAUCGAGACACGUGAAACCUUGAUGGAACACGCGGGGACCACCCCGUAAGCCUAAAUACUACUUAGUGACCGAUAGCGCAUAGUACUGUGAAGGAAAGGUGAAAAGGACCCCGGGAGGGGAGUGAAAGAGAACCUGAAACCUUGUGCCUACAAGCACAUAGAGCCCGUCAAAGGGUGAUAUGGUACUUUUUGUAGAACGGUCCGGCGAGCGAUUGUACGUUGCGAGCUUAAGGUCUUAAGGACUGGAGGCGUAGCGAGAGCGAGUCUAAACAGGGCGUUUAGUAGCGUGCAAUGGGCCCGAAACCGGGUGACCUACCCAUGAUCAGGCUGAAGUGAAAGUAAAAUUUCAUGGAGGGCCGAACCGACCUCCGUUGAAAAGGCGGCGGAUGAAUUGUGGGUAGCGGAGAAAUUCCAAUCGAACUCGGAGAUAGCUGGUUCUCCCCGAAAUAGCUUUAGGGCUAGCCUCAUGUUAGAUAUCCGGAGGUAAAGCACUGAAUGGCCUAGCGUCCGAGAGGAUAGCGAAGCCUAUCAAACUAAGAAUGCCGGAAUAUUGAUGCAUGGGAGUCAGACAGUGUGAGAUAAAUCUCAUUGUCAAAAGGGAAACAGCCCAGAUCUACAGCUAAGGUCCCAAAUUGUAUCUAAGUGGAAAACGAUGUGGAAAUACGCAGACAACCAGGAUGUUGGCUCAGAAGCAGCCACUCAUUUAAAGAGUGCGUAAUAGCUCACUGGUCGAGAGACCCUGCGCCGAAGAUUACCGGGGCUAAAGUACGAAACCGAAGCUGUGGCUACGACGUAAGUCGUGGGGUAGGGGAGCGUUCUGUGAGGGCUGAAGUCGUUCUGUAAGGAACGGUGGACUUCACAGAAGUGAGAAUGUUGGUAUGAGUAGCGAAAAGAAUGGUGAGAAUCCAUUCCACCGAAAGCAUAAGGAUUCCUGGGCAACGAUCGUCGCCCCAGGGUAAGUCGGGACCUAAUCCGAGGCAUGGAGCGUAGGAGAUGGACAACUGGCAGAUAUUCCAGUACCGGUAAUGAUUGUUUGAGCGAUGGAGUGACACAGGAGGGCAGGCAGGCAGGAGAUUGGUUGUUCCUGUACAAGCGUGUAGGAUGGGUUGCAGGCAAAUCCGCAACCUGUGAGUCUGAGGCGUGAUGUGGAGGUUCCGGAAACGGAACCGAAGCUGCUGACCCCACACUGUCGAGAAAAGCUUCUAGUUAGAGAAUUACCGCCCGUACCGUAAACCGACACAGGUAUGCGGGGAGAGAAUCCUAAGGUGCGCGGGAGAACCCUCGUUAAGGAACUCGGCAAAAUGUACCCGUAACUUCGGGAUAAGGGUAGCCGCUGUUGUGAAGUCUGAACAGACGGAGCAUGAGGCGGUCGCAGAGAAGAGGCCCAAGCGACUGUUUACCACAAACACAGGUGCCUGCUAAAGAGAAAUCUGACGUAUAGGUGCUGACACCUGCCCAGUGCCGGAAGGUUAAGGAAGGAUGUCCGGAGCAAUCCAAAGCAUUCGACCGAAGCCCCGGUGAACGGCGGCCGUAACUAUAACGGUCCUAAGGUAGCGAAAUUCCUUGUCGGGUAAGUUCCGACCCGCACGAAAGGUGUAACGAUUUGGGCACUGUCUCAACGAGGGACCCGGUGAAAUUGAAGUACCUGUGAAGAUGCAGGUUACCCGCGACUGGACAGAAAGACCCCAUGGAGCUUUACUGUAACCUGACAUUGGGUUCUGAUACAUCACGUACAGGAUAGGUGGGAGGCAUGGAAGCGAGGACGCUAGUCUUCGUGGAGCCGCCGUUGGGAUACCACCCUUGAUGUAUCGGAAUUCUAACCGUAGGAGUAACGAAACUCGGGACAGUGUCAGGCGGGCAGUUUGACUGGGGCGGUCGCCUCCCAAAGAGUAACGGAGGCGCCCAAAGGUUCCCUCAGCGCGGCCGGAAAUCGCGCGAAGAGUGUAAAGGCAGAAGGGAGCUUGACUGAGAGCCAAACACGGCGAUCAGGAACGAAAGUAGGGCUUAGUGAUCCGGUGGCAUCCAAGUGGAAGGGCCAUCGCUCAACGGAUAAAAGCUACCCUGGGGAUAACAGGCUAAUCUCUCCCAAGAGUCCAUAUCGACGGGGAGGUUUGGCACCUCGAUGUCGGCUCAUCACAUCCUGGGGCUGAAGUCGGUCCCAAGGGUUGGGCUGUUCGCCCAUUAAAGUGGUACGUGAGCUGGGUUCAGAACGUCGUGAGACAGUUCGGUCCCUAUCCGUCGCGGGCGCAAGAGAUUUGAAGGGGGCUGCUCCUAGUACGAGAGGACCGGAGUGGACGAACCAAUGGUGUACCAAUUAUCUCGCCAGAGGUAUAGUUGGGUAGCUACGUUCGGAAAGGAUAAACGCUGAAAGCAUCUAAGCGUGAAACCAGCCUUAAGAUGAGAUCUCUCAUAGAGUAAUCUAGUAAGACACCUUGG